GGGGGUGGGGUGGGGGAGCCUUGGACACAGUGGCCACGGGCUUUGGGCAAGUCCCUUUCUCCCUCUGGGCCUUAGUUUCCUUACUUACAAACAGACUUGGACCAGGUAGGUGAGGGGAUGUGUUCCUGCAUUUAGUGUCUAUGAGUUAGGCAGCUCAAGCCAUCAUAUGGGGUGAGGGGGCACAGACCCCUCUUGGUCAUGAUGCUGGCGACUCCUCCGAAUGUCUUCCCAGCAGUGGCCUCCAGGCAGACUGCCCUGGAGAGGGCGAGCCAGUGCAAGCACGGUUUUAUCAGAAGGCUUCUCAGAGAGUUCCCUGUCCCUGAAUAAAACUUCCUGCAGCGCGCCUGAGUCUUCCUUGUCUGCAGAAGGCCUCUGUUGUGUGGACAUAUAACUUGGGAGAAUUCUAAUGGUCACUUUAAGGGAAGAAAAGGAAAGACAGAGCCUUGAGGCAAUGGCGCUGAGGGAGUUGCUAUAACAUGGGGCAAUGGGCAGGGUCUGGAGUAUUCCUUAGGGCAUACUGCUGUGGCUCUAGGGAGCGCAGGGCCCCCAAGGGAGAGAAUUAGCGGGAGAGGUAGAUGGCCAGCCUUCUCCAUUUCUCCUUUCUCUUGGUUCUUGGAUCCUGCACCCUGUAGCUGCUGGUGAUCUCAUCAAAAAGCUCCAGGACCAGGAGGCCGGAGCUGUGGACUUGCUCCCCAUUGAUGGCAGAGCAAGGCUCAGCUCCCCAGGCUGCAGCCACACCCCCAGACAAUGGGUGCUCACCCUUGCCAACCAAGCCUGAUCUACAGAUCAUGGACCAGGAAGGGCUUCUGCCAGUCCUGUCAUCAUCUUUGUGAGGACAGAGCAGCUGGCUGUGCCAACACACCUGGGGCGAGCAGCCAGGGAGGUGCCCCAUGGCAGCGCCCGGCUUUGGUUGGCCUCUGCCAGGCUCUCUGUCUUGAUCUUCCCUUGCUCACACCCUUCCUGUCUCCUUGUUGCUGUCUGCCUGUCUCAUCCUCUUCUCUUUGUUCCCAUCUGUGCCUCCAGACUCUCUCCAAAGCCACUGGGGUUUGAGGACAUGAGAUAGAAAUUGUAUUUUCUAAUCACUGUUAGAAAUGUGAAACAAACAUUAGCAUAGCUGGCAAAACGUGGAGGCAGGUGGUUACUCUGGGAUCCUAGAAAGCUAGAUCAAGUCGAGUUAUAUGUUACAUUGUGGAUUCUGAACCUCCUGGAAUCCUGGGUUCACUCUGAUCCCUGUGAUGGCUGCCCUUUGCAGUGGUGGUGCCAGGUGUUGUAUGGGGACUUAGGUCCCCCAAAGUUUCCAUUAGUCCCAAAUAAACAUAUAACAUAGCUUAAAAUGAUGUGUUUGCUAUGGAAACACAGCUACACAUGAAUCCCCAGACCCCAUUACACCCACUGCCCUUGAAGCUCCCCUCCUGCCAUGAACAAAUUCUGGAACCUCCAAAUCUCAUAGAGGGAUCCACCUGCUCUCUUUGUUUUGCUCAUCAUCUUUCCUUUAUAACAAAUGGGGGCUAGAAGGCUCAUUCAUUCAUUCAUUCCUGGUCCCAGGCACAUGCUGCCGGUAGGGUCUAACACAUAUUGGAUGACAAUACAAAGCAGUAGAAGGGUCUGACCAACAUGGCUCAGUGAUUGAGCAUUGACCUAUGAACCAGGAGGUCAUGAUUUAAUUCCCAGUCAGGGCAUUUGCCUGAGUUGCAGGCUUAAUCCCCAGUGGAGGGUGUGCAGGAGGCAGCCAAUCAAUGAUUUUUUUCCUCAUCAUGGAUGUUUCUAUCUCUCCCUUUCUCUCUGCAAUCAAUAAAAACAUAUAUCUAUAAUAAAUACAAAAUGUAUCCAUACAUUUUUUUUUAUUGGCUGGGAAUCAAACCUGGGCCUCCCGCGUAGAAGUGCCCUUGGCCGGAAUUGAACCUGGGACCCUUCAGUCCACAUGCCGAUGCUCUAUCCAUUGAGCCAAACCAGCUGCUAGGGCAAUAAAAAAAAUAUUUUUAAACAAAAAUUCAAAAUAGUAGAAGGGACCCGUGAGGCAGGGUAUCAGUUUCAAGGAAUUUCAGAGGCGAGCUGAACAAACAUCUGUCUGGGUGAAAAGUUAGAUGGCAGUGCGUGGGUUAACUGCCAGCACGUUGGCAGCAUCUAUCAGAGGCAGCUGUGAUGUGUCAAAGGCAAACACAGGACAAACCAAUAUCAAGAACUGAGUCCACAGGCAGAAGGGAUCCUGUGGGCUGGUGGGAGGAAGUCCGGCUUUGUGGAAGGUGGAUUUGCCCUGGGGCUGAGGGAUGAGCAGCAGACAGACAGCUGGCUGGUGGGAGUGGGCAUUCCAGGCAGAGGACUGGCAUGGGGCUUGGCCAGCAGAACCAGAAGCACAGCCUGGCACUCUGUGAUGGAUGGCUCAGCAGCCUGUCUGACUAAUGUGCCCAGGGCUGGCCAUGAGUGUGAUGCUGAAUGUCAGGGCUGCCCACAAACUUAAAAAUAAAUGCCUGGAAACCCACAUGCGGUGCACAGCGUACAAGCUAGUGUGGGAGACAAUCACACAAGGAACCUGCCUAACGCGCACGACAGACUGAAGUGGUUCACAAGUGAUCGGGUGUGGGUGACUGUCCUGGGCCUCUCUCCAGGGCACUCACAUGCCACGGCGGGAUGGAGGCUGGAGACACAGGAUCUUCAGGGGAAGGAUCCCCGUGGGAGUGACUCCAGGCCUCACCUGAGCUGCACCGGCGCAGGGUGCCUCAAGUCUCUGGUCCUAGCUGGAGUGACUCGGUCCUGGUUUUACAGAGGGCAAGGUGGUGAAAUAGGCUGGCCUGGGCAUGUGUCCCCUGGCCAGUCUCUCUCACAGCCAACGGGUCCUGACAGACCCCUGACCACUUUGGUCGCCCAGAGAUGAGGGGGGUCUACUUCAAACAGUGACCAAAUGCCUCAGCUUCCCUCUCCUCCAUCCCACCACAAACCAACCUGUUCCAGGGAUAGUGUCCCAGCCCAGCCUGAGCCCUGCCAGUCCAGUAACAGCAUGGACCAGGCCCAUAGUGAGCACCCAGGAAACAUUUACUGCUAGAAUCCCCACUCCCCACACUGCUCACCGCUGACUGCCUCCUAGAGCCUGGCCUUGGCAGCUUCACCCUCUUCCCCACCCUCCCACCCUCCACCGAGGCAGCAGCUGCACCCUCUCCCCACCCCAGGAGUCCGGGACCCCGCCUCCUGGGGCUCUCACCUUGCUGGCUGCCUCCCAUGGUGGCUCCUGGGGAAGAGCUUACAAUGAAGGUGGAAAGUGGAUGUGAGGACCUAACUACCUGGGGGAGAACUUAGAAGGAUGAGCUGCAGAGUUUUCUGUCCAAACCAAGCUGGCCGAGAAGAGAAACUGUCCGCAAUACAAUUUAAUGUGUCCGCCUCUCUGUACGUACAGGGGUGAGCAAAGGUAGGUUUACAGUUGU